UCAUAACUUUACGAUGUUACCCGCCAAAGUUCAUUUUUACCGGCAUUUGGCGGGUUGGCGGGCGUCAAUUUAAAGCCCUGGACACACCAAAUGUUUCUAU